AAUAUUCUUUAUAGCCAGAGGGAUGUUUCAUGCAGAACUCUGGAAACUGGUUGCUGCCCUGGGACCAAUCAGAGUGCAAAUAGCCAGAAAUGGUUAUACUGCCACAAAAGACUUCAAUCUGACUUUGUGGGCCUGUGUUCCUAGACCUUUUUUACUGGUAGUGGGCUCAGGAUCAAUAGUUCUCACCUCUUUCCAAGGGGGACACCUAUUGUAUAAUAUCCAUUUUGACCAUUGUGUGUUAACAAAUUGUCUACCUGUGUCCCUGCCUUUGUCAGGCACAGGUCCCAUGAUAGUGUUUGUAACUAUGCAACCUCCAUAUAUGUUAUUACCUGUGGAAGUAGAAGGAUCUUGGUAUGCU